CGGAAAUGUGCCCGAGCCCUCAAGGAUUACUUUGAUAGAGUACACCACAGGAGUUAAAUCCUCCUCAUUUCCU
rnacentral:tRNA from 1 species